rnacentral:lncRNA from 1 species
AACGGCCGGAAACGGCCGGAACGGCCUCCCGAAGCCGCUGCUCCUACGCGCGAUUUCCGCUGCCAGACGCUGUCGCUUUUGCCGCUGCUGCUGCGCUCGCCGACGCCAGCAGCGCCUUCGGCCGGCAUCGCACGCCCGGCAGUCGGCCGCCACCGGCUGACGACGCAGCACCCGGCUCCUCCUUCUUCACGUGCGACGCCCGCUUUCUCUCUCUCUUCCUCUCUUCUUCCCCGAUUUCUUUCCCUUCAAUAUCGACAUUUGACCCCUGAACUUUUCCUUAUUGCAAUUUGGUCCCUCAACUUUCUUAAUUACUUACAAUUUCAUCCUGCAGAAUUCC